AUCUGUAUCUUUUCACUUGACUACAUAUGUGAUUCCAAUUACAUUUGGUAUAUUGCAACACAUCAGUGACAUGGAAUUUUUCAUUUAUAUUGUUUUAGUAACAAUUCUUUUUCUAAAAACAAAUGAGUAACAAUUAUAUAAAAGAUGAACAAACAAGGAGAUGGAUAUUUUGUAACAUAUACUGUUGCGUGUAGUCUCCGUUCGCUCGUCCGGUGUUCGUCCUCUGUCCACAUGUAGGGCUUACUGCUGGGCGAAACCGACCCUUUACCAGGUCGGGGCCAGAUGCUCACCCAGACCCCAGGAGUAAGUGAGGCAAAUGGCGUUUAUUCACUACUAAACACAGCUUAUAUACAUUUUACCUAGAUAACCGUGCUGUCAUGUCCCACUCUGAUUAGUUCACACCAGAUAACAUUGUGCCUUAUUUGGCCGUUUCCACAUUCUUUUAUCAUCCUUCUUCUUCUCCUGUUUUCUCUGCAACAAGGUCAGCACGAUAGCACUAUCUCUCUAUGUUUAGGGAGAGGCCUGUCCCGUACAUCCCGUGCCCCCGCAAGACGCCUACUACAACAUCUCCCCCUCCCUAAGCUAAAUACUACUUACACACACACCUAACCCGUACAUCGCGAAGCAGCGCAAAACGCCUAAUCCUAAAUAUAUUUCAGCACACUAUUCCUACUAUUUUCUACUACAGUUCUUAAGCAAUCAUCAGAGCAACAGGGAAUUCUUUUCCGUGCUCGGCCAAGCCUUGCCCCAUUACAGCACGAACGCAACAACCUAAACCCCUCUAUAAUUUUCACGCAAUCUAUGAUACUCAAUGUGAUAGUCAAAAGUCUUGUCCAUCAUUCGUUGAAGGCAGUUCUGCAAGCAUCCUACAAAGCAUGGAAGACAGAUUAGAAUACACACAAAGAUUGCAAAUCCUACUGCGAGAGCUUUAAGCAAUUGCUUUAACCAUGAACCCGUUCCCCCAAACAGUCCGUCCAGCCAGCUUCCAAAGGGAUCACGCUCUUCUUUAAUUUUCUGCAUAUGUUCUUGUGUCCAUUGUAGUUGUUUGUGACACUCUGUAAUCGCCAUGGACACCAUAAAUAUCAGCAACAUCGGAAGUGUCAGCGUUGCAGGUGUAGUGCUCCUCUUGACGAGUGGUUCUUAAUCCCAUCGUCUGUCCCUCAGUUGUUCUGGAGUUGGCUUCGGUCUGCCAACGAAGAAUUUCUGUAGAAAACUCGCACCUAGACUCAGUUUUUGCAGAUAUGCUACUUAUAUCUGGUAUUACUUUUCGCGAUGGUACCCACAGAAUUUCCCAGAUUCAUGAUAUUUAACUGCUGCAUACCCGACCACGGAUACCCUUUAGCAAGCCCUUCCUGUGAUCAGGAGGCCCUGACUGGCCUCCCCCACAGGGGCAUUGUGCUCUAACAUGGCCAUACUGGCCGUAUCGGAAACACAGCCCUUGCUGCUGCAGCGAUCUUUGCUGUCGCAGGCCAACAGCUACGACAAUAGCUGUGACUAGCCUUUCAUUAGUUAAAUGAGCCACCUUGAGCUUAUCUAAGACAUACUGAAUAACUUCUCCCGAGGUAUUAAGCGUACUUCGGCCGGCUCGCAGCAAUGCCUUAACACUGUCAUGCGAUUUCUGCUGCAAGCAGUCAAUGAUCACUGGCCCUUGGGCCGGUACCAGGAGAUCAGACCCCUCUGCAGCAGCUAAAAGCCUGUCUGUAAAGCUUUGAAAGGAUUCAUUCGGUCCCUGGGUAAUAUCUGUGCACGGAGUAGGUGGUUCGGCCUUAUGCACAAGUUUAUUAAACGCUUCCACCACUGCAUCUGUGGCUGCUAUUAGCUCCCCUGGCCUUAGUCUCGCUAGCUGGCCCUGGGGCGAAGCCACUCCCACGGCCUUCCCUGAAAGCCGCUGUAUUCCGGUCCCAUGCAGGGAGCGGCGCGGGCCGACCCCUGUCGCCCCGGCACGGCCCCCCAACUUGGCCACCCAGUCCGUCUCCCAUAACGUAUAUUGAACCAGCCUGAGCACCGUACGCAUUAAGUUUGUGAUGUCACGGGGGAAGAGAGGCCCCAGUGCAGCCAAAGUUUGUAGUGCAUUUAAUGUCAGAGGCGAUUUCAAGCCUCUUUUAUCCAU
ensembl:lncRNA